UACCUGCAGCUCGAGUGGUAACCGCUAUUAUUGGGCCUAAAGCGUCCGUAGCCGGUUUGGUAAAUAUCUGGGUAAAUCGUGAGGCUUAACUUCACGAAUUUCGGAUAGACUGCCAGACUUGGGAUCGGGGGAGGUCAGAGGUACUCCAGGGGUAGCGGUGAAAUGUUGUAAUCCUUGGAGGACCACCGGUAGCGAAGGCGUCUGACUAGAACGAGUCCGACGGUGAGGGACGAAGCCCUGGGGCGCAAACCGGAUUAGAUACCCGGGUAGUCCAGGGUGUAAACUAUGUGGGCUUUGUAUUGGAGGUCCCACGUGGGCGUCCAGUGCAGAAGAGAAGUUGUUAAGCCCACCGCCUGGGAAGUACGGUCGCAAGGCUGAAACUUAAAGGAAUUGGCGGGGGAGCACAGCAACGGGAGGAGUGUGCGGUUU
rnacentral:rRNA from 1 species